rnacentral:rRNA from 1 species
CAGCACCUCAAGUGGUCAGGAUGAUUAUUGGGCCUAAAGCAUCCGUAGCCGGCGCUGUAAGUUUUCGGUUAAAUCUGUACGCUCAACGUACAGGCUGCCGGGAAUACUGCAGCGCUAGGGAGUGGGAGAGGUAGACGGUACUCGGUAGGAAGGGGUAAAAUCCUUUGAUCUAUUGAUGACCACCUGUGGCGAAGGCGGUCUACCAGAACACGUCCGACGGUGAGGGAUGAAAGCUGGGGGAGCAAAACGGAUUAGAGACCCGAGUAGUCC